GUAGGAACUAUUAAAAAGUUUCUGAGUUUAAAACUAAAACUUCCAAGUUCUUAUGAGUUGGAUGUGCUGUGCAAUGGUGAAAUUAUGGGAAAGGAUCAUACUAUGGAAUUCAUCUAUAUGACAAGAUGGCGGCUAAGAGGAGAAAAUUCCUACCCGAUGGUAUUGCAGUAUCGACCAAGAAUUGAUUUCGGGUAGGCCCAGGCCCAGGCCUCGGCUGCACUGAAUGAAUCCUGCACUAUUUGUUUACUCGUCGACAGAUUGCACAGUGAAUGGUGUGUGGACUCGAGAGACACAAUCUGAUUUCAGCAUGCACAUAAGGCCAUUGUCUGUCUCAACUGUCAGUGUCCUUCAUGUUGUUUCUAUUAGGAGCCAUCCAAGUGCCCUUCCGCCACUGACCAUCUGCACAUAUUCAUGCUGUCUCAGUGUGCAAGGCACGGCCGGAGCGAGUGAGGUCCAGCCGCGACUCUGCUUUCUCAGUGUUUUGCUUGCCUGUUGCAAGGUUGUUCUAAUGUUAAUUACACUAGUAAAAUGGCUCAAUCCUUGUGGUGUUGCAGUUUUCACAUACUUAAUACUUUUAUUCUUAUUAAAAUAGAGUACUGUACAAGAACCUAGUAUAAUUAUAUCUUGAAAUUAUUUUGUAUAAGAAUAUAUUUAGAAAAGUGGUUUCUGAGCCACUGUCCUAUUCUUGGUAAACUUUUAUGUAAAAAAGAAUAAACAACCAAAAAAAAAAAAAAACCAAAAUGCCAGC
rnacentral:lncRNA from 1 species